rnacentral:rRNA from 1 species
GAUGAACGCUAGCUACAGGCUUAACACAUGCAAGUCGAGGGGAAACGAUAUUGGAAGCUUGCUUCUGAUAGGCGUCGACCGGCGCACGGGUGAGUAACGCGUAUCCAACCUGCCCAUCACUUGGGGAUAACCUUGCGAAAGUAAGACUAAUACCCAAUGACGUCUCUAGAAGACAUCUGAAAGAGAUUAAAGAUUUAUCGGUGAUGGAUGGGGAUGCGUCUGAUUAGCUUGUUGGCGGGGUAACGGCCCACCAAGGCGACGAUCAGUAGGGGUUCUGAGAGGAAGGUCCCCCCACAUUGGAACUGAGACACGGUCCAAACUCCUACGGGAGGCAGCAGUGAGGAAUAUUGGUCAAUGGACGAGAGUCUGAACCAGCCAAGUAGCGUGCAGGAUGACGGCCCUAUGGGUUGUAAACUGCUUUUAUAAGGGAAUAAAGUGGGAGUCGUGACUCUUUUUUGCAUGUACCUUAUGAGUAAGGACCGGCUAAUUCCGUG